rnacentral:rRNA from 1 species
CCUACGGGCGGCAGCAGUGGGGAAUAUUGGACAAUGGGCGAAAGCCUGAUCCAGCCAUGCCGCGUGUGUGAAGAAGGCCUUCGGGUUGUAAAGCACUUUCAGUGGGGAAGAAAGCCUUGGGGCUAAUACCCUCGAGGAAGGACAUCACCCACAGAAGAAGCACCGGCUAACUCCGUGCCAGCAGCCGCGGUAAUACGGAGGGUGCGAGCGUUAAUCGGAAUUACUGGGCGUAAAGCGCGCGUAGGCGGUCUGAUAAGCCGGUUGUGAAAGCCCCGGGCUCAACCUGGGAACGGCAUCCGGAACUGUCAGGCUAGAGUGCAGGAGAGGAAGGUAGAAUUCCCGGUGUAGCGGUGAAAUGCGUAGAGAUCGGGAGGAAUACCAGUGGCGAAGGCGGCCUUCUGGACUGACACUGACGCUGAUGUGCGAAAGCGUGGGUAGCAAACAGGAUUAAUACCUGGUAGUC